rnacentral:rRNA from 1 species
AUUGAACGCUGGCGGCAGGCCUAACACAUGCAAGUCGAGCGAGCGGCGGACGGGUGAGUAAUGUAUGGGGACUGCCCGAUAGAGGGGGAUAACUACUGGAAACGGUAGCUAAUACCGCCUACUAGUGCAUAACCCAUAUGGGAUUAGCUAGUAGGUGAGGUAGUGGCUCACCUAGGCGACGAUCCCUAGCUGGUCUGCGAGGAUGAUCAGCCACACUGGGAAUGUGACACGGCCCAGACUCCUAGGGAGUCAGCAGUGGGGAAUAGUGCACAAUGGGCGCAGGCCUGAUGCAGCCAUGCCGCGUGUAGGAUGAAGGCCCUAGGGUUGUAAAGUACUUUCAGUCGGGAGGCGUUACCGACAGAAGAAGCACCGGCUAACUCCGUGCCAGCAGCCGCGGUAAGAC